UACGGAGGGGGCUAGCGUUGUUCGGAAUUACUGGGCGUAAAGCGCGCGUAGGCGGACCUGCAAGUCGGGGGUGAAAGCCCGAGGCUCAACCUCGGAACUGCCUUCGAUACUGCGGGUCUCGAGUCCGGGAGAGGUGAGUGGAAUUCCUAGUGUAGAGGUGAAAUUCGUAGAUAUUAGGAAGAACACCAGUGGCGAAGGCGGCUCACUGGCCCGGUACUGACGCUGGAGGCGACGAAAGCGUGGGGAGCAAACAGG
rnacentral:rRNA from 1 species